ensembl:lncRNA
AGAAGGUCUACGCUGUGUGUGACUCAGAGAUCAUCAAGCCAGCCUUUGAGGGCCAAGGCAGCUCCAUGCCUGUCAUCGAAGCCAGUGAGUUUCUAUCCAAAUGUCCCCACUUCGACCCCUGGAGGCACUGGGGGGGUUAUCUAAAGAAGAAGAGAUCACUAUUGGAAUUUUAGCUGCCACCCUCGCCUUCCUCGCCAUCCUCGUUGCUUGGCGCUACAAUGCCCAGAUUAAGUGUCUUCCAGUGGCCUCUCCAGCAGUCAAAUCAGGGGAACCCCAGUGCUAUUCAGAUUAACUGAAGAGUGUGAUACUGUCAACUGAGGAAGAGUUGGACCUGCAGGGAAUAGUGGUGUGCCAAGAUGUGAAAAUCUCCUCCAAUAUAUUUCUAACAAGGCAAAUGUUGUCUAGGUCCUAUUUAACCCCAUGGUGUGUGUUUAUCCUGCAACUGGAGGGGACAGUGUUCUCCUUAAGUUCAGGUGACGUUCAGCUCUAUCAGCCAGGUUGCUUACUGUAGCAGUGGCACAAUGCGUCUCCCCAUCAAGCUGGGUUGUUACAGUAUGAUAGCUUCCACUCUGCACAUUUACAACAGGCAAGUUUUAAAAACACUGCUUCAAACUAAUUAUGGUCUAGACCAGUGGUUCCCAAAUUUUUUUAUGGUCCCGUACCCCUUCAAAAAUUCAACCUCCAGCUGCGUAACCCCUCUAGCACCAGGGUCAGCGCACUCUCAAAUGUUUUUUGUUGUUGCCGUCAUUGUAAGCCUGCCACACACACACUAUAGGAUACAUUUAUUAAACAAAAGAAUGAGUGUGAGUUUUUGUCACAAACUGGCUCGUGGGAAGUGACAGCUCUUAUAGGACCAGGGCACAAAUAAUAGUAUUAUAAUAAUCAAUCAUGUUGCUCCCUAUUUAGCCAUCUUACAUAUAAAACCUUAUUUGUUCAUCAAAAAUGGUGAAUAACUCACCACAGGUUAAUGAGAAGGGUGUGUUUGAAAGAAGAGAGUCUCAGUCUUAAAUAAUUUUCUACACACUCUAAUAUUAAAUAAGUCUCGAGGUAUUGCUCGCCUGAGGUAGAGUACCUUAUGAUAAGCUGUAGACCACACUAUCUACCAAGAGAGUUCUCAUCUGUAUUAUUUGUAGCCGUCUAUUUACCACCACAAAACUAAGCUGGCACUAAGACCUCUCUCAACCAACUCUAUGGUUGAGAGCGAUAAAGCCAUAAGCAAAGAAGAAAAUGCUCACCCAGAAGCGGCACUCCUAGUGGCCGGGGACCUUAAUGCAGGUAAACUUGAAUCAGUUUUACCAAAUUUUUACCAGUAUGUCACAUGUGCAACCAGGGGGAAAAUAUCCUAGACCACUACUCCACACAUAGAGAUGCAUACAAAGCUCUUCCCUGCCCUCCAUUUGGCAAAUCUGACCAUAAUUCUGCUUACAAGCAAAAACUAAAGCAGGAAGUACCAGUGACUCGCUCAAUACGGAAGUGGUCAGAUGACGCGGAUGCUACACUACAGGACUGUUUUUCUAGCACAGACUGGAAUAUGUUAUGGGAUUCAUCCAAUGGCAUUGAGGAAUACACCACCUCAGUCAUCAGCUUCAUCAAUAAAUGCAUUGAUGACGUCGUCCCCACAGUGACUGUACGUACAUAUCCCAACCAGAAGCCAUGGAUUACAGGCAACAUCCGCAUCGAGCUAAAGGCUAGAGCUACCACUUUCACAGGAGUGGGAGACUAAUCCGGACGCUAAUAAGAAAUCCCGCUAUGCCCUCAGACGAACCAACAAACAAGCAAAGCGUCAAUACAGGAUUAAGAUUGAAUCCUACUACACCGGCUCUGAUGCCGGCUUGACAACUAUUACAGACUACAAAGGGAAACCCAGAUGUGAGCUGCCCAGUGACCCGAGCCUACCAGAUGAGCUAAAUGCCUUUUAUGCUCACUUUGAAGCAAGCAACACUGAAGCAUGCACGAGAGCACCAGCUGUUCUGGAUGACUGUGUGAUAACACUCUCAGUAGCCAAUAUGAACAAAACCUUUAAACAGGUCAACAUUCACAAAGCCGCUGGGCCACAAAGCCGCUGGAUUACCAGGACGUGUACUCAAAGCAGACCAACCGUCAAGUGUCUUCACUGACAUUUUCAACCUCUCGCUGAUCAAGUCUGUAAUACCUACAUGUUUCAAGUGGACCACCAUUGUCCCUGUGCCCAAGGAAGCGAAGGUAACCUGCUUAAAUUAUUACCACCCUGUGGCACUCACGUCGGUAGCCAUGAAGUGCUUUCAAAUGCUGGUCAUGGCCUACAUCAACAGCAUCCCCCGGACACCCUAGACCCACUCCAAUUCGCAUACCAUCCCAACAGGUCCACAGAUGACGCAAUCUCAAUCGCACGCCACACUUCCCUUUCUCACCUGGUCAAAAGGAACACCUACGUGAGAAUGCUGUUCAUUGACUACAGCUCAGCGUUCAACACAAUAGCACCCACGAAGCUCAUUACUAAGCUAAGGACUCUGGGACUAAAUGCCUACAUCUGCAACUGGAUCCUGGACUUCCUGACGGGCCGCCCCCAGGUGCUAAGAGAAGGCAACAACAUGUCUGCUACGCUGAUCCUUAACACUGGGGCCCCUCAGGGGUGCGUACUUAGUCCCCUCCUAUAUUCCCUGUUCACCCACGACUGCGUGGCCAAACACGACUCCAACACCAUCAUUAAGUUUGCUGACAGUAGUAGGCCUGAUCACCGACAAUGAUGAGACGGCCUAUAGGGAGAAGGUCAGAGAACUGGCAGUGUGGUGCCAGGACAACAACCUCUCAAUGUGAGGAAGACAAAAGAGCUGAUCGUGGACUACAUGAAAAGGCAGGGCGAAUAGGCCCCCAUUAACAUCGACAGGGCUGUAGUGGAGCGGGUCAAGAUUUUCAAGUUCCUUGGUGUCCACAUCACCAAUGAACUAUCAUGGUGCAAACAUACCAAGACAGUCGUGAAGAGGGCACGACAAAACCCUUUCCCCCUCAGGAGACUGAAAAGAUUUGGCAUGGGUCCCCAGAUCCUCAAAAGGUUCUUCAGCUGCACCAUCGAGAGCAUCACCUCCUGGUAUGGCAACUGCUCGGCAUCUGACCAUAAGACGCUACAGAGGGUUGUGUGAACGAGCGCCAAGUCUAGGACCAAAAGGCUCCUCAACAGCUUCUACCCCCAAGCCAUAAGACUGCUGAACAAUUAAUAAAAUCGCCACCGGACAAUUUACAUUGACCCACCCUCAUGUUUCAUUUCUAAAUGUCUGCGCAAGAGUGAAGGUUUCCCGCGAGAGAGUAACGGUUAAUGUGAUUGGAUGUUAAUUAUUUGACGAUGUUGUUAUUUCGCUGAACACUAGAUGGUUUCAUUUUAUUUUUAAAGGUGAAACGAGGCUACUCAGGUGAGAAAAAAACCUCACCCAAAUGUAUAGCCCUGUCAUAAAAUAUAAAUGUACUGUUUGAAAAUGUGAAGAAUUUUUUUUUUACAAUUUAUAAAAAAAAUGUGAAUCACAUUUUUAUUUGGCGUACCCCUCGGGAUACGCGUACCACAGUUUGGGAAUACCCGGUCUAGUUUGAAGACCAUUAACAGUCAGUUGAUUAGCUGAAUCAGUUGUGUUAUACAUUAUUUACCUAAGCAGCCCAUAUAUUUAUCCCAGACUGUGAAUACAAUACUUUAAAAAAUAUAUAUUUAACUAGGCAAGUCAGUUAAGAACAAAUUCUUAUUUACAAUGACAACCUAAACGGAGAGUUAACUGCCUUGUUCAGGGGCAGAAGACAUAUUUUCACCUUGUCAGCUCAGGGAAUCGAUCCAGCAACCUUUUGGUUAUUGGCCCAACGCUCUAACCACUAGACUGCCUGCCUCCCCAUAAGGUAUCAUGUCAUACUGGAGUUUGGGAGGAAAACAGGAAAAUACUUUUCCAUGACCACUUGAAACAAAUAGACAUUUUUGUAACUAGGUUUGGUUGUGUAAUUGACCUGAUAUGUACAUUCCUGUGUACAACUGCUCUGUGUUUGACUGAGAGAGCACUAUGGGAACAACCCUGAAACAGAAUACCGGAUAAAAAGUUGAAACACUUUUAAUCAGUUUGUAUCCAGAUUAUGGAUUUUGGUCAAUAGGAGUGGAACUCUAAACCUGUUCCCUCUCCUGUCCCUUUCCUCUUUGUAGGGCAGGGUAUGACCUCACCAGUUUUAUAAACAGAUGUAAUUGUACUGCUAUUCUCUUGCGAUGUGCUGUGUAAAUAAACACAUGCUCGGACAGCGAUCCCAGUUCUUUGCUGUUUAUUCUGACCAUAGACAAGGAAAGAGUACAUAAGAUGAGCAUCACUUGCACCAGGAUAUUGACGGCUGUAGAAUCCUUUGCAUGUAAAUAGUAGACUGGGCUUUUUAUAAUUAAAUAUGUCAAACAUAGGAAGGAAUACAGAUCAUGCAUGAACUACAAAUAUAAAAGGAAAAACUUGAAUUCAUCUUGACAUUAUGACAAUCUUUGAUGGUUUAUAGUUUGCUAAGUAAACACGCUUGGUGACUCCAGAUGGCUGUCUGAGCAGAAUUUAUAAACUCAAACACGUGGUCCCCGUAUACAGUAUUUUAUUCUGGAGGCCUCUUCCUGGUCCAGCUCUGCGGAACACUAACAUCAAUUAACCUCACCAGACAUGCAAUUACACUACAAUGCAAAUAUUAUCAAUGGUAAAAACAUAACUUCAUAUUUAACUUAAUAUGUUCAAAAAAAUCAUAUCCAGCCCUCCUCACAGGGAAACCACCUACAGAGAGAACGUGUUAGAGAGAGAGAGAAAGAGGGGUGCAAUGGAACAUUUCCCAGUUAUGCUCAUAGAUUGUGGUAAGGAUUUGGCGAGGGACACACAACAUUUCCUCCCCUUUUCAUUUUUAAUGUACUUUACAAAUGGAAGCAGAGAAUGUGUGGUAAUUCUACUCUGUAAGUAUGUGACAAUUGUCUGUGGUCGUGUCUAUUGUUAUCACCCCAACCCAGAAAAUAUACAGCUAAUUUUGCUAUGUGACAAACAUUUGC